rnacentral:RNase_P_RNA from 1 species
GCGGAUGGCCGGAUGACCGCGGUGUAAUCGUAGCUCUGCGCAAUGCAGAUAGCCGAUGCUCCGAGGAAAGUCCGGGCUCCAUGAAGGAACGGUGCCGGAUAACGCCCGGCGGGGGCAACCCCAGGGAUAGCGCCACAGAGAACAGACCGCCCUGCAAUAUGCACGGGUAAGGGUGAAACGGUGGGGUAAGAGCCCACCGCGGGACUGGUAACAGGACCGGCAUGGCAAGCCCCACCGGGAGCAACGCCGAAUAGGGAUCACGUGCUGGCGGGCAACCGCACGGCAGGGGACCUUCGCCCCGAGUGAUCCGGGUUGGCAGCUUGAUCUUGCAAGCAAUUGCAAGACUAGAGGAAUGGUCAUCGAAGGGGGGAACCCCUGAACAGAACCCGGCUUACAGGCCAUCCGCGCAA